rnacentral:rRNA from 1 species
GAUGAACGCUGGCGGCGUGCCUAAUACAUGCAAGUCGAGCGAACAGACGAGGAGCUUGCUCCUCUGACGUUAGCGGCGGACGGGUGAGUAACACGUGGAUAACCUACCUAUAAGACUGGGAUAACUUCGGGAAACCUGAGCUAAUACCGGAUAAUAUAUUGAACCGCAUGGUUCAAUAGUGAAAGACGGUUUUGCUGUCACUUAUAGAUGGAUCCGCGCCGCAUUAGCUAGUUGGUAAGGUAACGGCUUACCAAGGCAACGAUGCGUAGCCGACCUGAGAGGGUGAUCGGCCACACUGGAACUGAGACACGGUCCAGACUCCUACGGGAGGCAGCAGUAGGGAAUCUUCCGCAAUGGGCGAAAGCCGACGGAGCAACGCCGCGUGAGUGAUGAAGGUCUUCGGAUCGUAAAACUCUGUUAUUAGGGAAGAACAAAUGUGUAAGUAACUAUGCACGUCUUGACGGUACCUAAUCAGAAAGCCACGGCUAACUACGUG